GGGCGAAAGGGUCCAUGCCAGCAACACAAUCACUCAAAGUCCAGAUGAGGGAUCAGUAAAUACAACGUGCCUGAAAGGCGGCCCUUGAGCACAUUCCUCCGGUAGACAUUAACUUAUUAAAUUGAUUCUGAUUACAAAUAUAAACUUUGCCCCUAUCUCACCCGGUAACAAUGCAAGAGUUGAUGUCAGUCUAUAAAAGGAAGUAGGAACUGUCCCUGGCUUUCAGGCUCCAACAUCCUCCCUCUGUCAAGAUGUGGCACCUCAAACUUUGUGCAGUCCUCAUGAUCUUCCUGUUGCUGUUGGGCCAGGUAAGGAGGGAAGGAUAUGUAUGUGUAUGUGUGGAGUGUGGAGAUGAUAGUGGUGGUGGAACUUGAAAGCUAGAUUCAGUCCUGGGGAAUGGUUCCUCUGUUCUGAGUCUACAGCAUCCGCGGAAUGGAAUGAUCACUCUUCCAAGGUGUGCAGCACGGUGUCAACACUUUCAUAUCUGAAUGUCUGCCCUACAGAUAGAUGGCUCCCCAAUACCAGAAGUGAGUUCAGCAAAGAGAAGGCCACGGAGAAUGACCCCAUUUUGGAGAGGGGUUUCCCUCAGGCCUAUUGGAGCCUCCUGCCGGGAUGAUUCUGAGUGUAUCACAAGGCUAUGCAGAAAAAGACGCUGUUCCUUAAGUGUGGCCCAGGAAUGAUGUACAUACCAGGGGAAGAAAGGACAGCAGUCACCUCUGACAAUGCUCCGUUCUAUGGAAUAUUGAUUAACUGCAUUUUGGCUGGAGACACCCAAGUGAAGCAAUCUUGUAUUUUUAAUAUUUAAAGGCAGAUGUAUGCUUUAAAUUGGUCUCCGUUUCUUCUUAGAAUGUUGAUAUAUGGAUAAGCAUAACUAAACUUGUCAAUUUAGAGUUUAUUUUUCUAUGGAUACUAUUAAAUGUCUCAAAUUGAAA
rnacentral:sRNA from 1 species